GGUGAAAUGGCUGAGUUCAGGCAAUAAACUGUAAAUUUAUGUACGAAAUAAUUUUCUUUUACCA
rnacentral:tRNA from 1 species